rnacentral:rRNA from 1 species
CUACGGGAGGCAGCAGUGAGGAAUAUUGCACAAUGGGGGGAACCCUGAUGCAGCAACACCGCGUGGAGGAUGACGCAUUUCGGUGUGUAAACUCCUUUUAUAUGUCAAGAAAAUGACGGUAGCAUAUGAAUAAGCACCGGCUAACUCCGUGCCAGCAGCCGCGGUAAUACGGAGGGUGCAAGCGUUAUUCGGAAUCACUGGGCGUAAAGGACGCGUAGGCGGGUUUUUAAGUCAGGUGUGAAAUCCUACAGCUUAACUGUAGAACUGCACUUGAAACUACUGACCUAGAGUAUGGGAGGGGGAGAUGGAAUUAGUGGUGUAGGGGUAAAAUCCGUAGAUAUCACUAGGAAUACCUAAAGCGAAGGCGAUCUCCUGGAACAUUACUGACGCUAAGGCGUGAAAGCGUGGGGAGCAAACAGGAUUAGAUACCCGCGUAGUC